GACGAACGCUGGCGGCGUGCUUAACACAUGCAAGUCGAACGGUGAAGCGCCUUCCUUUUUGGUGGGUGUGGAUGAGUGGCGAACGGGUGAGUAACACGUGAGUAACCUGCCCCCUUCUUCUGGAUAACCGCAUGAAAGUGUGGCUAAUACGGGAUAUUCUGGGUCUGUCGCAUGAUGGGUCUGGGAAAGAUAUUGUUUCGGUGGGGGAUGGGCUCGCGGCCUAUCAGCUUGUUGGUGGGGUGAUGGCCUACCAAGGCGGUGACGGGUAGCCGGCCUGAGAGGGUGGACGGUCACACUGGGACUGAGACACGGCCCAGACUCCUACGGGAGGCAGCAGUGGGGAAUAUUGCACAAUGGGCGCAAGCCUGAUGCAGCGACGCCGCGUGAGGGAUGGAGGCCUUCAGGUUGUGAACCUCUUUCGCCAGUGAAGCAGGCCUGCCUCGUUUGUGGGUGGGUUGACGGUAGCUGGAUAAGAAGCGCCGGCUAACUACGUG
rnacentral:rRNA from 1 species